AGGUUUCUCAGCUGACAAAAUGACACGAUUGAAGCCAAAUCAGACGUAACAAGGCAUCUGAAGGAAAAAGAGGUAUUUUCUAGAAGCUUGGAGCCUUGGUGUCCAGAAGAUGUUUAGCAUUUGUCAUGAUAUAGGGGACCACUCUACACUAACAGUCAAGGAGAUAGAGAGUGAGAUCCUAGCAUCCUCGGGAAAGGAUGAACCAUCUUCAAGUCUGUAACAAGUUGCUAAAGACUGGACAUUGGCUCUUGUGAGAGUGUGAAGCCACCGGCGGGCAAAGACACACAACAGCAGGAAGUCUCUUUGCUGCAGGGUUUUCAGCCAGAGACUCCUCCACAUGUUCACAGAUAAGACUGUGUUCAAGAAUGCCAGAGAGAGCCCCCUCCAUAUCUAGAAUUGGAGCC